GCCAGAGCCCUCCAUGGGCAGUAGAGCAACUGGAUGAAGGAUAUGUUGAAGCAUCCAGUUGCUCUACUGCCCAUGGAGGGCUCUGGCC
rnacentral:pre_miRNA from 1 species